rnacentral:rRNA from 1 species
UACAGAGGGUGCGAGCGUUAAUCGGAAUUACUGGGCGUAAAGCGUGCGUAGCCGGUUAUUUAAGUCGGGUGUGAAAGCCCCGGGCUCAACCUGGGAAUUGCAUUCGAGACUGAAUAGCUAGGGUACGGUAGAGGGAAGUGGAAUUUCCGGUGUAGCGGUGAAAUGCGUAGAUAUCGGAAGGAACAUCAGUGGCGAAGGCGGCCUUCUGGACGGUGACUGACGCUGAGACGCGAAAGCGUGGGGAGCAAACAGG